GAAUUUUAUAUAAAUUUUAUUCUAAAAAGAAAUUACAUUAAAAUUUAUAUUUGAUUGGGAGGAUUAUUAAAUUUAUAAAACUUUAAAUUGAAUAAAACAUUAAUUUAUGAUUAAAUUGAUUAAAAUUUAUGAAUAAUUUUAUAAUAGAAUUAAUUACCUUAGGGAUAACAGCGUAAUAUUUUUAUAAAGAUCUUAUUAGUAGAAAUGUUUGC
rnacentral:rRNA from 1 species